rnacentral:rRNA from 1 species
AUGGAACAAUGUAGGCAAGGGAAGUCGGCAAAACGGAUCCAUAACUUCGGGAAAAGGAUUGGCUCUGAGGACUGGGCUUGGGUGUCCCGUCCCCGAACCCGUCGGCUGUCGGUGGAUUGCUCGAGCUACUCACGCUGUGAGAGCGGCUCGCCGAGUGCCGGCCAGGGGACAGACUGGGAAUCGCCCCUUCGGGGGCUUUCCUCGAGCAUGAAACAGUCAACUCAGAACUGGUACGGACAAGGGGAAUCCGACUGUUUAAUUAAGACAAAGCAUUGCGAUGGUCCUCGCGGAUGCUGA